GAUGAACGCUGGCGGCGUGCCUAAUACAUGCGAGUCGAGCGAACAGACGAGGAGCUUGCUCCUCUGACGUUAGCGGCGGUCGGGUGAGUAACACGUGGAUAACCUACCUAUAAGACUGGGAUAAAUUCGGGAAACCGGAGAUAAUACCGGAUAAUAUAUUGAACCGCAUGGUUCAAUAGUGAAAGACGGUUUUGCUGUUACUUAUAGAUGGAUCCGCGCCGCAUUAGCUGGUUGGUAAGGUAGCGGCUUACCAAGGGAACGAUGCGUAGCCGACCGGAGAGGGGGACCGCCCACAUGGGAAUGGAGACACGGCCCAAACUCCUAGGGAGGGCACCGGAGGGGAAUCUUCCGCAUGGGCGGAAGUCUGAACGAGGCACGCCCGCGGGAUGGAGGAAGGUCUUCGGUUCGUAAGACCCUGUGAUUAGGGAAAAACAAUUGUGGAAGUAACUAUGCACAUCUUGACGGUACCUAAUCAGAAAGCGACGGCUAACUACGUG
rnacentral:rRNA from 1 species